CCUGGUCUCAAACUGGGAUCUGGAAACCGAUGCGAACCCUAACUCUCCUCGAUUCCACUCGGCGCCCAAAUGCCUUUCAUCUCAUAAUCUCUAACCCUAACUCUCCCCUGUUCUGGUUGCUAUGUUGGAUGCCGCUUAAAAGGCCGACAACGAGUUUGAAGCUUUGGCGAUCGCCAGAAUGCCGAAUAGGUCAUUCCCACAAUGGCUGCUUUAAUCACAAUGCUGAAGGGCAAAAUUAAGAAAGGACAUAAGCGGAUCUUGAUCGGAGGCUUCAAGCUGUUCUCUUGGUGCUGCUAUGCUGAGAGUACCUUAGUCGCUGAGCAUUCAAAUAAUCCUUGCUGCUGAAUGAACCGUAGACACGAAGAGCUACUCUUGCAUCCCACCCUAUCUCCGCAAAAUUCCUAUCAUAAUACAAGGUAAAGCUACUUACAGUAUUUCGAGAUGUGGAGCCAAUGAAGCAGUACAUUCAGAUCCAAUUGUUAUAUAAUGAGCCAAACGCAUCUCUUCUAUCUCAGAAAGCCAGAGGAUGCUGAAACUUUUACUGGGAUGGUUGAAGGAAAAAAAGCACUUCACUAUGUGAACUAAGAGGAAAAUUCAAUUCAGGCUGGAGGAUUAUCCAAAAAAAAAAGAAGAAAAAAAAAAUCAACUUAUCAGACUCCUGGAAAAAUGAAUUUCACAAAACUAGUAACAGAUUAUCUUUACAGCACCAAGCACAACGAAGAGAACUUUUUCCUGCUUUCUUUAAUUUGUAAAAAAUGAAAGAAAAGCACUGCUUCUAUAUGUCUGACAUAUUAGGAAUGGGAGAUGAUUUUCUCACCUGCAAAGAUGCUUGUUGAUCUGGGAGGUUACCAGAAAUAGCUGCAUAACUGAUACAAACAAGAAUAUUUAUUGAGUUGCUGCUAAUAUGCCUGGCAUUCCAACCGUCCAAUUCAGUGGAAGAACACUGAAGCAACAACAUAAAUGCCUAUCAGGAUUGGGGGGGUCAUAUGGUGUACAAGCAAUGGAGAUAGUGGAGAAGUUUCUGAUGGCCAGCUGAUUUACCCAGAAUUAGACAAGCGCCCAGAGGUUGGCUUGAAACCAACUACGCCACAGAGAGCAGCAGGCAUCCGCACCGAUCCUAGGUAUAAGAACAUUGAUAAGAUCCAUAGGGUUUUCACAGGUGAAUUUUUGACAAAAAAUAUCAGCCAAAGAUUAAUGAGUGUGCUAGAGUUAAUCAGCACAUAUAUUAUAAUCAUGCAGUGCUGAUGAAGAUCGUCUUUGUAAUCCUUUAGCAUGAUGGGUAAUAGUGAACUUGAGAUCGAUGAAUUCUGUUAUCCAGUUUUAGCUUCAAAGAUGGUGUAUGACUUAUCUGACCAUAUAGUUCAUAUCACUGAAAGCGGGUGACAGUCAUUUGUAUCAUUAAGUAAUCAAAAAGUUUGCCAGCAACAUCCAAAUGAAUUGCUACUUUAAAGGGGUAUUGGAAGUUGUC